CAGGUCGCAUAAAACAGGUGAACGUUCACAGGUGACAUCAGCAAGUGCUUUCAGGUGAGUGCUACAUGUGUCUCAGGUGAUUCCCACAUGUGUCUCAGGUGAGUGCUACAUGUGUCUCAGGUGAGUGCUACAUGUGUCUCAGGUGAGUCCCACAUGUGUCUCAGGUGAGUCCUACAUGUGUCUCAGGUGAGUCCCACAUGUGUCUCAGGUGUGUACCACAUGUGUCUCAGGUGAGUGCUAUAUAUGUCUCAGGUGAGUCCCACAUGUGUCUCAGGUGAGUCCCACAUGUGUCUCAGGUGAGUCCUACAUGUGUCUUAGGUGAGUACAACAUGUGUCUCAGGUGAGUGCUACAUGUGUCUCAGGUGAGUGCUACAUGGGUCUCAAGUGAGUACCACAUGUGUCUCAGGUGAGUCCCACAUGUGUCUCAGGUGAGUGCUACAUAUGUCUCAGGUGUUUUCAGAUGAGUCCCACAUGUGUCUCAGGUGAGUCCCACAUGUGUCUCAGGUGAGUCCCACAUGUUUCUCAGGUGAGUCCUACAUAUGUCUCAGGUGAGUCCCACAUGUGUCUCAGGUGAGUGCUACAAAUGUCUCAGGUGUUUUCAGAUGAGUCCCACAUGUGUUUCAGGUGUUUCAGCAGAGCGACAUGCGUUUGCGGUGCUGCUCCACCAGAGGCACCAGGCAGCGCGGUGAGCUGGCCUGC